rnacentral:rRNA from 1 species
GAUGAACGCUGGCGGCGUGCCUAAUACAUGCAAGUCGAGCGAAUGGAUUAAGAGCUUGCUCUUAUGAAGUUAGCGGCGGACGGGUGAGUAACACGUGAGUAACCUGCCCUUGACUCUGGGAUAACUGCGGGAAACUGUAGCUAAUACCGGAUACGACCCUCGGCGGCAUCGCCAGGGGGUGGAAAGAAUUUCGGUCAAGGAUGGACUCGCGGCCUAUCAGCUAGUUGGUGAGGUAACGGCUCACCAAGGCGACGACGGGUAGCCAGCCUGAGGAGGUGACCGGCCACACUGGGACUGAGACACGGCCCAGACUCCUACGGGAGGCAGCAGUGGGGAAUAUUGCACAAUGGGCGCAAGCCUGAUGCAGCAACGCCGCGUGAGGGAUGACGGCCUUCGGGUUGUAAACCUCUUUUAGUAGGGAAGAAGCGAAAGUGGCGGUACCUGCAGAAAAAGCACCGGCUAACUACGUGCCAGCCGCCGCCGUAA